GGUUUAUUUGUAAUAAAGUAAUAAAUCUGACCUGCCCGGUGAAGAUUAAACGGCUGCGGUAAUUUAACCGUACAAAGGUAGCAUAAUCAAUUGUCUAUUAAUUGUGGACUGGAAUGAACGGUUUGACUAAAAAUUUAUUGUCUUAUGGGUGAAUUGAAUUUAAAAAUUUUAUGAGGAUGUAGAUGUGAAUAUGACAGACGAGAAGACCCUGUUGAGUUUAAUAUUUAUUAUUAAAUUUAUGAUUAGUAUAUAGUAUAGUAGGGAAUAUUUUACUGGGGCGGUAAAAAGAUAACACUUUUAUUAGUUUUAAUGAAUAGAUGUAUUAUGAUCCAAUUUUAAUGAUUAGAAGAGUAAAUUACCAUAGGGAUAACAGCGUGAUAUUAUCUUAUAGUUCUUAUUUAUGAUAGUGUUUGCGACCUCGAUGUUGGGUUAGAAUACUUAUUUGGUGAAGGAGCUAAAAUAAGUGGUUUGUUCAACCAUUAAAUUUCUAUA
rnacentral:rRNA from 1 species